rnacentral:rRNA from 1 species
GACGUAGGGCGCGAGCGUUGUCCGGAUUUAUUGGGCGUAAAGAGCUCGUAGGCGGCUUGUUGCGUCGACCGUGAAAACCCGCGGCUCAACUGCGGGCUUGCGGUUGAUACGGGCAGGCUGGAGUUCGGUAGGGGAGACUGGAAUUCCUGGUGUAGCGGUGAAAUGCGCAGAUAUCAGGAAGAACACCCGUGGCUAAGGCGGCUCUCUAGUACGGUACUGACGCUGAGACGCGAAAGCGUGGGGAGCGAACAGG